GGUGAGUAACACGUGGGUACCUGCCCAUCAGAAGGGGAUAACACUUGGAAACAGGUGCUAAUACCGUAUAACACUAUUUUCCGCAUGGAAGAAAGUUGAAAGGCGCUUUUGCGUCACUGAUGGAUGGACCCGCGGUGCAUUAGCUAGUUGGUGAGGUAACGGCUCACCAAGGCAACGAUGCAUAGCCGACCUGAGAGGGUGAUCGGCCACACUGGGACUGAGACACGGCCCAGACUCCUACGGGAG
rnacentral:rRNA from 1 species